AUUGAACGCUGGCGGCAGGCUUAACACAUGCAAGUCGAGCGAGCGGCGGACGGGUGAGUAAUGUCUGGGAAACUGCCUGAUGGAGGGGGUUAACUACUGGAAACGGUAGCUAAUACCGCAUACCAUCAGAUGUGCCCAGAUGGGAUUGGCUAGUUGGUGGGGUAACGGCACACCAAGGCGACGAUACCUAGCUGGUCUGAGAGGAGUACCGGCAAAACUGGAACGGAGACACGGUCCAGACGCCUACGGGAGGCAGCAGUGGGGAAUAUUGCACAAGGGGGGCAAGCCGGAUGCAGCCAUGCCGCGUGUAUGAAGAAGGCCUUCGGGUUGUAAAGUACUUUCAGCGGGGAGGCGGUACCCGCAGAAGAAGCACCGGCUAACUCCGUGCCAGCAGCCGCGGUAAUUC
rnacentral:rRNA from 1 species